rnacentral:rRNA from 1 species
UACGGAGGGGGGCUAGCGUUGUUCGGAAUUACUGGGCGUAAAGCGCACGUAGGCGGCUUUGUAAGUUAGAGGUGAAAGCCCGGGGCUCAACUCCGGAAUUGCCUUUAAGACUGCAUCGCUAGAAUUGUGGAGAGGUAAGUGGAAUUCCGAGUGUAGAGGUGAAAUGCGUAGAGAUCCGGAAGAACACCGGUGGCGAAGGCGGCCUGCUGGGCAGUGGCU